rnacentral:lncRNA from 1 species
CUCAGCCACAAGUGCUUGUCCCCAUUCUGUCCUCUGUAUUUUGCACAGCUGCAGGAAAAGAAGAAAGGAACUGAUCAAGCUGAGAAAACAAUCUUCCUUUUAGUCCUUGUUCUUCCUGAUGACAAGGGUCCACUACACCAUAUGCACACAAUGGUGCCCAGGUUUGGACUCUACAGGAAAUUUCAAUGUGCUAACAGUUGGCACUUUAUUUGUGGACACACCCUUUACUUCCAAAUGCACAGCACUUCAGCUUCAGGGCCUUCUGCCCUUUGAUGCAAAAAAAAUUUCUCAUUUUAUGGAUGGAGGACACAUAUAGAAGACAGUGGAAAACUAGGUUGCUCAGUCUCAGAGGAAAUCUGAAUAUGCAUAUAAGGAAUAUGCUCAGGAGACACGGUCUUAAAACUGCUGUCCUAACCCCUUGUCUUUGAGUAAUUCUCUGUACUUACUUGUGCAUAAAUUAAUCUCAAGAUUAAAAAUGGCAGAUCCCUAAUUGGUUGCCUUUGCAGUGUGAAGCAGUAGACGCUGUGUAGAGUAGUGUUUCCUUAACACUUACACAUUUUGCACUGUUUGUGGCUCAAGGUAUUUUGUAAUCUGUAGCCACAAAAGUUGCCUUUGUAUUUGAUGUCACUCAGUAGUUUUUUUCCAAAAGUUAGUCUAAUCAACCCUGAAACACUUGAAAUACCAUGUAAAGAUGACUUAAAAAUGUAACUGUACAUUUCUUUUAUGGACAAAGUACCUUUAUGUAAUCCAAUACUCACUAGUUAUUACUCAAAAAAGUAGCUGUGAACAAUAAUUUCAUAUUAAUUUUUUCCACGUCAGUUGGAAUUCUGUUAAUAAAAAUAUUAUGCCUCCUUGGCUAGCCUUUAAU